rfam:Hordeum vulgare subsp. vulgare, WGS project CAJW01000000 data, contig: morex_contig_66720
CAUAUACUCCCUCCGUCAUAAAUUACUUGUCUUAGAUUUUUUAGAUAUGGAUGUAUCUAGACAUGUUUUAGUGUUAGAUACAUCCGUAUGUAGAUAAAUCUAAGACAAGUAAUUUGGGACGGAGGGAGUAUUAA